rnacentral:lncRNA from 1 species
CUAAAGAGCUUCAAAAUAUAAUAAAUUGUUUAAAAAAAGAAUUUGAGAUGAAAGAUGUAAUACCCAAUUUGCCCGGCCCAAUAAACAUCAAAAGAAAAAUUGAAAAUAAAACAUCAAAAUAAAUAAAAAUUAAAUAACAGUCCAAAUGUCUAGUUAUACAAACCCAAAAAAUUAAGCCCAAUACCUAGCCCUAAACAGUUUCCAGAAACCCUAAUUUUCAGCAACCAGCAGCGCCACAGCAACCAAGCCACCUCACCCACGCGCAGCAGCCCUAUACACGUCCUACGUGCGUCUCCACAGCUGGCUGUACCUGCAAGUGUAACAAACCAGCAAUAGCCGAAGAUAUACACGAGGAUAAUAGGAAAAAAGAAAAAUAGACAAAAAAGGUGUGUAAUAGUCGGCAAUAUAAAAGCCGAUCGAUUCAUUUUGUAAAGGGGGAUACACAGAUUUGAAUAGAAAUACGAAAAUAAAAAAAACAAUCAAAGUUUUUUUAAGGUGAUUUGAAAUCUCAUUUUCUGCCUUCGAUUAUUUCACUUUUUGUUUCUUGAAUCCUUUUUACUUAUGGUACAUAGAAAAAGAGAGAGAUUAGAGGACGAGAAAUUUACCUGAUCGGUGCCGUCGAAUCCUCAUUGCUUCGUCACAAUCGAAGGGUGAAUGGGGAUUUAGGGCUAGAGAACGGCGCAAGAGAGAAAGGGGGAUGAAUAUUGUAUAAAAAAGGUUAUAAAAACAAUCGAAAAACAGAAUAUCAAAAGGGAGGUGAUUUUCUUUUAGAUUUUUUUUUAGUCUUCGAUUUUUGUUUCUUUUGUAUGCGUAAAAGAGAAAUAAAGUGAAAGAAUAGAGGGUUCUUACCGUCGCGGCGUGCCAUCGGAGCUCCGUUCACUCUGUCUAAAAUCGAAGUCGGAUGGGAUUUCGGGGUUGCAACGCCAGAGGGAAAAAGGGUCUUUAUUUCUGCUAAGUUAAAAGUCUAAUGAGGGUUUUGGGUUUCAAAGAUUUCAUUUGGUUUUUGUAUGGUGCGUGAAACAACACCGUUUGGG